rnacentral:rRNA from 1 species
UACGUAGGUGGCAAGCGUUGUCCGGAUUUACUGGGCGUAAAGAGCGCGCAGGCGGUCGGUCAAGUCGCGUGUGAAAGCCCCCGGCUCAACUGGGGAGGGUCACGCGAUACUGAUCGACUCGAAGGCAGGAGAGGGAAGUGGAAUUCCCGGUGUAGUGGUGAAAUGCGUAGAUAUCGGGAGAACACCAGUGGCGAAGGCGACUUCCUGGCCUGUUCUUGACGCUGAGGCGCGAAAGCUAGGGGAGCAAACGGG